CCUACGGGAGGCUGCAGUGGGGAAUAUUGGGCAAUGGGCGCAAGCCUGACCCAGCAAUGCCGCGUGAAGGAAGAAGGCUUUCGGGUUGUAAACUUCUUUGACAGGGGAAGAGCAGAAGACGGUACCCUGACAACAAGCCACGGCUAACUACGUGCCAGCAGCCGCGGUCAUACGUAGGUGGCAAGCGUUGUCCGGAUUUACUGGGUGUAAAGGGCGUGUAGCCGGGAAGGCAAGUCAGAUGUGAAAUCCGGGGGCUCAACCUCCGAAUUGCAUUUGAAACUGUUGUUCUUGAGUACUGGAGAGGCAGACGGAAUUCGUUGUGUAGCGGUGAAAUGCGUAGAUAUAAGGAGGAACACCAGUGGCGAAGGCGGUCUGCUGGACAGCAACUGACGGUGAGGCGCGAAAGUGUGGGGAGCAAACAGGAUUAGAUACCCCUGUAGUC
rnacentral:rRNA from 1 species